GUAGUCCACGCCCUAAACGAUGAGUACUAAGUGUUGCCAGAAGGCAGUGCUGAAGUUAACGCAUUAAGUACUCCGCCUGAGUAGUACGUACGCAAGUAUGAAACUUAAAGGAAUUGACGGGAGCCCGCACAAGCGGUGGAGCAUGUUGUUUAAUUCGACGAUACGCGAAGAACCUUACCAGGUCUUGACAUCCUCUGCAAAGCUAUAGAGAUAUAGUGGAGGUUAACAGAGAGACAGGUGGUGCAUGGUUGUCGUCAGCUCGUGUCGUGAGAUGUUGGGUUAAGUCCCGCAACGAGCGCAACCCUUAUUACUAGUUACCAUCAUUAAGUUGGGGACUCUAGUGAGACUGCCAGUGAUAAACUGGA
rnacentral:rRNA from 1 species